GACGAACGCUGGCGGCGUGCUUAACACAUGCAAGUCGAACGGAAAGGCCCUGCUUGCAUGGUCCUCGAGUGGCGAACGGGCGAGUAACACGGUGGUAAUCUGCCCUCCUCUUCGGGAUAAGCGUGGGAAAGUGGGUCUAAUACCGGAUAGGAGCCAUUUAUAUUGUGUUGGUUGGAUAGUUUUUUCGGUGUGGGAUGAGCUCGCGGCCUAUCAGCUUGUUGGGGUGGUAAUGGCCUACCGAGGCGGCGGGGGGUAGCCGGCCUGUGAGGGUGGACGGCCACACUGGGACUGAGAGAAGGCACCAGUACCGACUGGAGGCCGAUGGGGGGAAGACUGCACAAGGGGCGCCAGGCUGAUGCAGCGACGCCGCGGAGCGGAUGACGGCCUUGGUGUUGAAGACCCCUUUCGCUAGGGACGAUGCUUUUUGUGACGGUACCUAGACAAGAAGCCCCGGCUAACUACGUG
rnacentral:rRNA from 1 species